rnacentral:lncRNA from 1 species
UAGGAGUCUGCCAUUCCUUCAAGAAAGAGGCGUACUUGCCAAAACACCCAGAUGCCGCCUGACUUCUUUCUAGGAGACAAAAUAGGAGAGUUCCUUGUCUGUGCUGUGCUCCGAACUUGGCCAUGAGCAUGCAGAGAACAGGUGGGACUGUGCCCUUGCAUGGACUGGGCGGCUGGCGGGCCAGUAUGGGAGCAGACCGAAUUAACACAGAGGACAUGAGUGGCACAUCCCAGAGCCCUGGUGGAGUCACCCUGAGCCGGUCGUGCUGCCGUCCCUGCCGCCGCCUCCCGCACGUGCUAUUCAAUGAGAAACGUCUUUGUGGUUUAAGCGUGGAUCCUCAGCUCUGCAGGGCACUGCCAGCCCCUCGGCACAGCAUCCUCCCGCUCCUCCUCCCGCUCCCCCCAGGCUGGGGCAGCUCCUGCUCCUUGUUCAUGGCAGCACCUCCAGCUCCUGGGGACACAGAGAUCUCUUGGUGCACCAGGUUGGGACGGCAGCUCCUGCACAGGAACAAGUUGCACUUCCAUGCACAGCUAUUUGAGACCUAG